rnacentral:rRNA from 1 species
CCUGAGUACGACGGAGCACGUGAAAUUCCGUCGGAAUCUGGGAGGACCAUCUCCUAAGGCUAAAUACUCUCUAGUGACCGAUAGUGAACCAGUACCGUGAGGGAAAGGUGAAAAGUACCCCGGAAGGGGAGUGAAAGAGAACUUGAAACCGUGUGCUUACAAGUAGUCAGAGCCCGUUAAUGGGUGAUGGCGUGCCUUUUGUAGAAUGAACCGGCGAGUUACGAUCUGAUGCAAGGUUAAGCAGAAAAUGUGGAGCCGUAGCGAAAGCGAGUCUGAAUAGGGCGAAUGAGUAUUUGGUCGUAGACCCGAAACCAGGUGAUCUACCCUUGGUCAGGUUGAAGUUCAGGUAACACUGAAUGGAGGACCGAACCGACUUACGUUGAAAAGUGAGCGGAUGAACUGAGGGUAGCGGAGAAAUUCCAAUCGAACUUGGAGAUAGCUGGUUCUCUCCGAAAUAGCUUUAGGGCUAGCCUCAAGUGAUGAUUAUUGGAGGUAGAGCACUGUUUGGACGAGGGGCCCCUCUCGGGUUACCGAAUUCAGACAAACUCCGAAUGCCAAAUAAUUUAACUUGGGAGUCAGAAUGUGGGUGAUAAGGUCCAUAUUCGAAAGGGAAACAGCCCAGACCACCAGCUAAGGUCCCAAAAUAUAUGUUAAGUGGAAAAGGAUGUGGCGUUGCCCAGACAACUAGGAUGUUGGCUUAGAAGCAGCCAUCAUUUAAAGAGUGCGUAAUAGCUCACUAGUCGAGUGACACUGCGCCGAAAAUGUACCGGGGCUAAACAUAUUACCGAAGCUGUGGAUUGUCCUUUGGACAAUGGUAGGAGAGCGUUCUAAGGGCGUUGAAGCAUGAUCGCAAGGACAUGUGGAGCGCUUAGAAGUGAGAAUGCCGGUGUGAGUAGCGAAAGACGGGUGAGAAUCCCGUCCACCGAUUGACUAAGGUUUCCAGAGGAAGGCUCGUCCGCUCUGGGUUAGUCGGGUCCUAAGCUGAGGCCGACAGGCGUAGGCGAUGGAUAACAGGUUGAUAUUCCUGUACCACCAUUAUUCGUUUUAAGCGAUGGGGGGACGCAGUAGGAUAGGCGAAGCGUGCUGUUGGAGUGCACGUCCAAGCAGUGAGAUUGAGUGUUAGGCAAAUCCGGCACUCUUAAGAUUGAGCUGUGAUGGGGAGAGGAACUUGUUCCUCGAGUCGUUGAUUUCACACUGCCGAGAAAAGCCUCUAGCUAGAAUAACGGUGCCCGUACCGCAAACCGACACAGGUAGUCAAGAUGAGAAUUCUAAGGUGAGCGAGCGAACUCUCGUUAAGGAACUCGGCAAAAUGACCCCGUAACUUCGGGAGAAGGGGUGCUCUUUGAGGUUCACGCUUCGAAGAGCCGCAGUGAAUAGGCCCAAGCGACUGUUUAUCAAAAACACAGGUCUCUGCUAAACCGUAAGGUGACGUAUAGGGGCUGACGCCUGCCCGGUGCUGGAAGGUUAAGAGGAGUGGUUAGCGCAAGCGAAGCUACGAAUCGAAGCCCCAGUAAACGGCGGCCGUAACUAUAACGGUCCUAAGGUAGCGAAAUUCCUUGUCGGGUAAGUUCCGACCCGCACGAAAGGCGUAACGAUUUGGGCACUGUCUCAACGAGAGACUCGGUGAAAUCAUAGUACCGGUGAAGAUGCCGGUUACCCGCGACAGGACGGAAAGACCCCGUGGAGCUUUACUGUAGCCUGAUAUUGAAAUUCGGUACAGUUUGUACAGGAUAGGUAGGAGCCUUAGAAGCGUGAGCGCUAGCUUACGUGGAGGCAUUGGUGGGAUACUACCCUAAUUGUAUUGGAUUUCUAACCCGCAGCACUUAUCGUGCUGGGAGACAGUGUCAGGCGGGCAGUUUGACUGGGGCGGUCGCCUCCUAAAGAGUAACGGAGGCGCUCAAAGGUUCCCUCAGAAUGGUUGGAAAUCAUUCAUAGAGUGUAAAGGCAUAAGGGAGCUUGACUGCGAGACCUACAAGUCGAGCAGGGUCGAAAGACGGACUUAGUGAUCCGGUGGUUCCGCAUGGAAGGGCCAUCGCUCAACGGAUAAAAGCUACCCCGGGGAUAACAGGCUUAUCUCCCCCAAGAGUUCACAUCGACGGGGAGGUUUGGCACCUCGAUGUCGGCUCAUCGCAUCCUGGGGCUGUAGUCGGUCCCAAGGGUUGGGCUGUUCGCCCAUUAAAGCGGUACGCGAGCUGGGUUCAGAACGUCGUGAGACAGUUCGGUCCCUAUCCGUCGUGGGCGUAGGAAAUUUGAGAGGAGCUGUCCUUA